UACGUAGGGGGCAAGCGUUAUCCGGAUUUACUGGGUGUAAAGGGAGUGUAGGCGGCUAGGCAAGUCAGAUGUGAAAGCCCGGGGCUCAACCCCGGGACUGCAUUUGAAACUGCUUGGCUAGAGUGUCGGAGAGGUAAGUGGAAUUCCUAGUGUAGCGGUGAAAUGCGUAGAUAUUAGGAGGAACACCAGUGGCGAAGGCGGCUUACUGGACGAUGACUGACGCUGAGGCUCGAAAGCGUGGGGAGCAAACAGG
rnacentral:rRNA from 1 species